rnacentral:rRNA from 1 species
UUUACAAUGGAGAGUUUGAUCCUGGCUCAGGAUGAACGCUAGCUACAGGCUUAACACAUGCAAGUCGAGGGGAAACGACAUCGAAAGCUUGCUUUUGAUGGGCGUCGAC